GACGAACGCUGGCGGCGUGCUUAACACAUGCAAGUCGAGCGGUAAGGCCCUUUCGGGGGUACACGAGCGGCGAACGGGUGAGUAACACGUGGGUGACCUGCCCUCAGCUCUGGGAUAAGCCUGGGAAACCGGGUCUAAUACCGGAUAUGACUCCAUGACGCAUGUUGUGGGGUGGAAAGCCUUGUGCGGCUGAGGAUGGGCCCGCGGCCUAUCAGCUUGUUGGUGGGGUGANGGGCCUACCAAGGCGACGACGGGUAGCCGGCCUGAGAGGGCGACCGGCCACACUGGGACUGAGACACGGCCCAGACUCCUACGGGAGGCAGC
rnacentral:rRNA from 1 species